CCCACGCCGGCGUCGGCGGGCGUAUUUCGCCUCACAGUAGGUCGCCGCGACCCGUUGCUUUUGGGGACGUCGAAGGCCCGGACGGAUUGGUACCCUACCGGCUGGGGAUGCGGCUUCGGCUUCUCCUCUUGUCCGGUGGGCGAAACCGCCGGUGUCCUGGCUGCCCUGCGACGGUCGUAGAGACGAGCCCUCCCCUUCGGGGGGGCGGCUCUCGCGGCGUGCAAAAGGUCGGUGAUCCACCCGACCCGUCUUGAAACACGGACCAAGGAGUCUAACAUGUGUGCGAGUCAGUGGGCGCACUAAACCCAGAGGCGUAAUGAAAGUGACACGGGUUCGGCUGUCGCCUCGUGUGGCAGCCGGACUCAGGGCCGAUCCCUCACCGGUUGCCCUCGCCUCUCUCCCGCGUCUCGGUAAGCCGGGUGAGCUAUUUUCCCCGGCCGCUGCUGCGGGGCUCGGGGGGAGGCGGGGUUGCGAUGGUGUCCGUAAAAAAGAGCCUGCUGUUGCAGGGGGGCGCAGGCCCGGGACUUGCCAGGACGCCGCGAGACUGUCACUUUGCUGUGAGGCUCUCGGGUCGAUCAGCGGGUCAUGCGUGCAGUCGGCAAGUACCAUGAGCAGACAUGUUGGGACCCGAAAGAUGGUGAACUAUGCCUGGCCAGGAUGAAGCCAGAGGAAACUCUGGUGGAGGUCCGUAGCGAUUC
rnacentral:rRNA from 1 species